ensembl:lncRNA
GGGUGAAGUCUGAACCUGCUGGCUGAAGCAAACAUCCCGACUUUUACAGUGGAAACUCUGCAAUAGACAAGCGCACAUUACAAGCACAGUGCUGACUUUUACACAUUUUUAUUUUGUGCAGCAAAACAUUAGCGUAUGAAAAUAUAUCAUUUAGUUUUUAUUACAAAUGAAUUGAUUAAAGUAAAGCAGACCAAGUGAAAUGCAAAGCAAACAACCUCACUGAGCCAAAUCGUAUUUACAGUCAGGAUACAAAGUAAUACUGUUCACGGUCUCAUCAUAAAGCAUUGUAGCACAUCUCAGAGCUCAGCGGGAAAUCCUUCUGGAAACAGCUGUCUUCUACAGGAUACACCUGGGGAUAGUCUGUGGGAGCAAAGUAAGGUGCGCAUUCUGGGGUGGGGGGGCUCUCCUGCUGGCCUGACCAACAGUGUGGCAAGCUGUAAUAUUCCUGGGGGCCACAGUGCUGAUAGUGGUAUUGCUGUGGGCUGAAGCUUGACUCCAUUCUGGUGGGCGAGUCAUAGCAUGAGGAGGAGGAGGAGGAAGAGAAGGAGUCCUGUGGGGAAUAAGUGUUGGGAUCCACAGGGUUGCAGAAAGUCAGUGACUCCAAUGAGGAGCAAGGGGCCUGAAAGAGAGGAGGACAUCGAAAUUACUUUGGGCAGGACUGCAGGUGUGCCACAUGGUGGUCAUCCAACCAAAGCUAGGCCCAGGGCUCACCAGGAACACUUGUCGUUUCCACCGCUCAGUGUUUCUGAGUGUUACUGGCGGCUGAUCCCCUCCCCGGAGCCUCCCGGUCGGGAGACGUUUUCACUGCACCCUGUAGCCCUGAGCUGCCACGCCCCAGUCAGAGGCAGAAGAAAUCGGCUCUUAACGCGUUAAAGGAAAAAUGCAAGAAAAUGAUUUCCUGAAGAAAAUCCGAGGUGAAACUCACCGGACAUGAUGGCUGGGAUGGAGAGAUGAUUCCUGGAGAAGAGCUGAGGGACUCAACAAUGUCCUUUUCUGCCUCAGCAAAAUGGCCAAGAACGAAAUUUCUGCAAAAGUCUCCAAAAAUAGCAACACAAAUGUCUUACAGCAGAGCCAGAGCAUACAGAAUGAUUGUAAUAGAGCUGGGGACAUAUUAGUUUGAGAUUUUCUCCCUCCAUUCCCUCUAUUUAAAACCCCUAGAACUCAAUGAUUUGACAAUGAUUUGAUUGCGCGUUACUUACCAUUUGAAUAUUCAGAGGCAACUCUCUCAAAUCGAUUUUCAGUAAAAUCACUAAGCAUGAACACUGUAUCAAAUCCACUUUAAUCUCAUAUAUUAGUAUUUUACACUUUAACCUCGAAAAAAAUGCACUUUUAUUCAUUUUACCCUCCUUUUGCACUAUCCCAGCAUCAGCCCCCUUCACUUAGCACUGCAGCACCCACGACUGCUUCCGUGCAACCUUAAGAGCGCAUUUCACCUCAAACCUCGCGUUUAGCCUAGUCACGCAUUUUAAAAAGUUUAUUUCAUAAAAAAUACAUUAAAAGUGGCAAAGAGGGAAAGUGGGUGUGGCAAGGGCCAACAGCCCUCGUUGGCAUGGCAGGGCCUCCAGCUCCAUCAGAGUGCUCACACCUGCUGGGAGAACAGGGAGAGAGGCUCAGCAGCUUCACGCACAGUUCUGUCCUUGUCUUGGUUAUAUUUUCAUGAAAAUAAAAAUGCGUUUCAGGAUCAAAGGUUUCCGGUAAAGUGUGCCGUUUAAGAACCGGCCUUUGAAAUGUUUAACUCCCCCAGCAUUAUGAUUUAUGAUCAUUAUGAUCAAAAACGGUUAUUAUUUUAGAUUUUCUAUCAAAUCUGUGUUGAAAUCGAGUAAAUAAAUAAAUAAAUGAAUAAAUAACGAAACUAAAAACAAACAUUGCAGCUCCUUCUUUGCACUGAAGUCCCUUACACUACACUUCGAGUGUAUUUUAUUUCUCAGACUGUUUGUGGUGCGAAGGUCAGAAGAUAAAAUGAACUCAACUAUAUCAACGUUACAUUCAUCACACUUGGAUAAAUGCAUCC